AGGCGGCUUCGCCAAGUGGACUAAGGCCACGGUUUGCAAAACCGUUAUCCUGGGUUCGAAUCCCAGAGCCGCCUU
rnacentral:tRNA from 2 species